GCAAGUCGAACGGAGCUGUUUUCUCUGAAGUUUUCGGAUGGAAGAGAGUUCAGCUUAGUGGCGAACGGGUGAGUAACACGUGAGCAACCUGCCUUUCAGUGGGGGACAACAUUUGGAAACGAAUGCUAAUACCGCAUAAGACCACAGUGUCGCAUGGCACAGGGGUCAAAGGAUUUAUCCGCUGAAAGAUGGGCUCGCGUCCGAUUAGCUAGAUGGUGAGGUAACGGCCCACCAUGGCGACGAUCGGUAGCCGGACUGAGAGGUUGAACGGCCACAUUGGGACUGAGACACGGCCCAGACUCCUACGGGAGGCAGCAGUGGGGAAUAUUGCACAAUGGGGGAAACCCUGAUGCAGCGACGCCGCGUGGAGGAAGAAGGUCUUCGGAUUGUAAACUCCUGUCCCAGGGGACGAUAAUGACGGUACCCUGGGAGGAAGCACCGGCUAACUACGUGCCAGCAGCCGCGG
rnacentral:rRNA from 1 species